rnacentral:sRNA from 1 species
AUCAAACCUCUCCGAAGCAGCAAAAAAGNUUCGAAUCCUGCACGACCCACCAAUCGUUAGGUGGAUAGCGAUAGUAAAACGUGAAGGAUAACGUUGCGACAGCAACGGCCCGUAGGGCGAGGCGAAGCCGAGUCAUCCUGCACGACCCACCA